rnacentral:rRNA from 1 species
GAUGAACGCUAGCGGCAGGCUUAAUACAUGCAAGUCGAGGGACAGCACAGGUAGCAAUACUGGGUGGUAACCGGCAAACGGGUGCGGAACACGUACACAACCUUCCUUUAAGUGGGGGAUAGCCCAGAGAAAUUUGGAUUAAUACCCCGUAAUAUAGUUGAAUGGCAUCAUUUGAUUAUUAUAGGUACGGCGCUUAAUGAUGGGUGUGCGGCUGAUUAGAUAGUUGGCGGGGUAACGGCCCACCAAGUCUACGAUCAGUAGCUGAUGUGAGAGCAUGAUCAGCCACACGGGCACUGAGACACGGGCCCGACUCCUACGGGAGGCAGCAGUAAGGAAUAUUGGUCAGUGGACGCAAGUCUGAACCAGCCAUGCCGCGUGAAGGAUUAAGGUCCUCUGGAUUGUAAACUUCUUUUAUUUGGGACGAAAAAGGGCCUUUCUAGGUCAACUGACGGUACCAGAUGAAUAAGCACCGGCUAACUCCGUGCCAGCCGCCGCAGUAAGAC